rnacentral:misc_RNA from 1 species
CAACCCUCAAGCCCCGCUUGGUGUUGGGGUCCUACGGCUGCCGUAGGCCCUGAAAGCUAGUGGCGGGCUCGCUAUAACUCCGAGCGUAGUAGUAAAAUAUCUCGCUAGGGAGGUGUCGCGGGUUCCGGCCGUGAAAGCCCCAUCUUUUACACAAGG